GGUCCCUUAGCUCAGUUGGUUAGAGCGUGGUGCUAAUAUCGGGGAUGAUUUACUGCAAUCUAGUUGAUAUAGUAACGCCAAGGUCGCAGGUUCGACCCCUGCAGGGACCA